GACAGAGGAUGCAAGCGUUAAUCGGAAUUACUGGGCGUAAAGCGUGCGCAGGCGGUUAUGUAAGACAGUUGUGAAAUCCCCGGGCUCAACCUGGGAAUUGCGUUGGAGACUGCAAGGCUAGAAUCUGGCAGAGGGGGGUAGAAUUCCACGUGUAGCAGUGAAAUGCGUAGAGAUGUGGAGGAACACCGAUGGCGAAGGCAGCCCCCUGGGUCAAGAUUGACGCUCAUGCACGAAAGCGUGGGGAGCAAACAGG
rnacentral:rRNA from 1 species